AAAAUGUAACGGAGGCGCCCAAAGGUUCCCUCAGCCUGGUUGGCAAUCAGGUGUCGAGUGCAAGUGCACAAGGGAGCUUGACUGUGAGAGUGGCAGCUCGAGCAGGGACGAAAGUCGGGACUAGUGAUCCGGCGGCUCGUUGUGGAACGGCCGUCGCUCAACGGAUAAAAGGUACCUCGGGGAUAACAGGCUGAUCUUGCCCAAGAGUCCAUAUCGACGGCAUGGUUUGGCACCUCGAUGUCGGCUCGUCGCAUCCUGGGGCUGGAGUAGGUCCCAAGGGUUGGGCUGUUCGCCCAUUAAAGCGGUACGCGAGCUGGGUUCAGAACGUCGUGAGACAGUUCGGUCCCUAUCCUCUGCGCGCGUUGGAAAUUUGAGAAGGUCUGUCCUUAGUACGAGAGGACCGGGACGGACGAACCUCUGGUAUGUCAGUUGUACCGCCAGGUGCAUGGCUGAUUAGCUACGUUCGGGAUGGAUAACCGCUGAAAGCAUCUAAGCGGGAAGCCGGCUUCGAGAUGAGAUUUCCU
rnacentral:rRNA from 1 species